rnacentral:lncRNA from 1 species
CUUGUCUACAAUGUCCGAGAGGUUUUAUUUUGACAGUAAUAAGACACUUUUAUGGACGAUGCUUUUGUCGUUAUCGUAGUCCACUACGAUUUGUCUAUUGAUGAUUUUUUUCUAAUUUUUAUAAUUUACGAGAAAAUCUAGAAUUGUCAGGUUCCUCUUGAACUGUUUCUACAGAUAAAACUCCAAGUUGCAAACAUGCAGCACAUGUUAGUGUUCUCUUAGCAAGUGCUUAUAUUGAGCGCAGGGUAGCAUAAAGAAAUAUAUCUAACAUCUGGAUUUAAGUUUUUGAGCAAUACAAAUUUACUGACUGCAUUCUAAUCUUAGUGUUCUGUUAUCUGUGUUGAAGAUUUUUCGGGUUAGACGAUGGUAUUAUUGUUGUCCAUAUUUUUUGUAUUUAUUUUUUUUAAAGUGGAAUUGUUCUGUCUGAUAAAUAUCAUGUAAUUAUGUUGUAGAUCUUAUAUGUUGUUGGAUGAAUGUUUUGAUUAUGUUGUUAUGCGUACCCCUCUUUUUCAAAUAGUAUUUAACAUACUGCAGCUCCAAAGGAGUGGAACAUAAAAGAUAAAUGUUUUUUGACUGGUUUUGUUUACAGAAGUUGGGAUGCUAAUAUUGAUAGUCACUGUUGCUAAAACAUGUGUCGAAAUAUUUGUAAAUAAGUAUUCCAAAUUGUUUACUGUGUAAAUACAUUUUCCUUGGGAUAGAAGAU